UAUAUAAAUCUGAAUUCAUUUUUUCUAACGAGCCUGGGAUUGUAAGAGUAAGGAAGUUUGUUGAUGCCCCUGAGGAGAAAAUUAACAUACUGAAAACCUGCCAAGUGGAUAUUGGUGUUCUGCCAGAGCAGAUCUUUGGUGAGGGAAUAUGUGCUGAAAGGCAAUGGUACUUGCAUGAUGUAAUUAGAGACUUUUGCAGAUCGGAUAAUGCUAAAAACACAACAUGCCCAUUGCCAUUAGUUGCAAAAGAAGGCUAUUCAAAGGCCAAAAAACUAAAGUUGAGAACACUUUCUCUGUGUGUUUCAGCAAAAAGUUGUAGUUUAUUUCUUCUUAAAUGUAAGGUUGCUCCACAGUCCGGACAUACUAUACCUAGGCUUGAGCUUUGUGCUGCCGUGAUGGCUGUGGAAAUAGCUGAGACAGUAUCCGAGCAGAUUGGCGUUGCCAUAGAGAAGAUGAAGUUUUACACAGAUAGUCGUGUUGUACUUGGUUAUCUUAACAACAAGGUAAGACGGUUCUACAUCUACGUGCAGAAUCGCAUUUCCCGAAUACUCAAGUCAACAGCUCGAGAACAAUGGCACUAUGUUUCCACGGAUGACAAUCCAGCCGAUCAAGGAACAUGACCUAUUCCGACUGAUCAGCUACAGCACAGCAAGUGGAUAAAUGGCCCAGAAUUUCAAAAAAAUUCAGAGCUACAGAUCAACACAGAUACAUAUGAGCUACAAGCUGAAGAAGAAGACCGAGAAAUUAGACCACUAGUGCAGUGCAUGAAGACAGAAACAAGCACAAUUCAGAGUCUUGGCCUAAACCGAUUUGAAGGCGUCAAGAGCUGGGAACUCAUGAUCAAAGUGAUCGCUUUACUCAAAGGCAAGGCACGCUGUCGAAAGAACGAGUCGGACAUUAGUCGAGCUGAUUUACUCUUGGAAUCGGAAAGGAUAAUUCUCAGAGAAGUACAGAGGGAAGCGUUUUUCCCCGAGCUGGAGUGCAUAGCUUCAAGUCAGAAGCUACCCAGAAUCAGUGCUAUACAGAACUCAAUCCCUUCAUAGAUGAACAUGGUUUAUUAAGAGUUGGUGGUAGACUGCAACAUGCCAGUGAGCUUAGUACAAGGGAGAAGCAUCCAGUUAUUCUGCCAAAAGGACAUUUUGUGAGCAGACUGGUCACCUUGAACUACCAUGGAAAGGUUCUACACCAAGGAUGCAACUUCUCCGAAGGUGCUAUCAGAUCUGGAGGCUUCUGGGUAAUCGGUGUAAAGCGGCUAGUGCGUAGUAUCAUUCAUGAGUGUUUUAAGUGCAAGAAACUUCGCGGCAAAGCAGAGUCUCAGAUCAUGUCAGAUUUACCAGAGGAUAGACUAUCACCAGGUGCACCUUUCUCAUCCGUAGGAGUUGACGUGUUCGGGCCAUGGAACGUCAUUGCGCGACGUUCUCGUGGUGGAAUGGCUCAUAACAAACGAUGGGCCGUACUGUACACUUGUUUGACUACACGAGCAAUACAUAUAGAGGUGAUAGAAGAACUCAGCACUUCAUCGUUUAUAAACGCGACGCGUCGGUUCAUCGCGCUUAGGGGACCAGUGCGCUUAUUCCGCUCUGACAGAGGAACAAACUUUGUCGGGGCAACUGACUGUAUGAAAAUUGACGCGAUCAAUGUGGAGGAUGCAACCGCUAAGAAGUUUAUGGAUUCUAACCGAACUGUGUGGCUGUUCAACUCGCCACACUCAUCUCACAUGGGUGGGGUGUGGGAAAGACUUAUUGGAGUUGUACGUCGAAUCCUAGAGUCCAUGUUUGCAGAUAUUCGCGGCGAUAUUACUCAUGAAGUGCUGACAACAUUUAUGGCCGAAGUCUCUUCCAUUGUUAAUUCGCGUCCGCUAGUCGCAGUGUCCGCUGAUCCAGAAUGUCCAACAGUGUUAAGUCCAGCAAUGCUUCUUACACAGAAGCCCGCCGAAGAAGGACAAUAUCUUAGUGAAAUCAGUGUGAAAGACAUGUAUAAAGCACAAUGGCGUCGUGUUCAGUGUUUGUCUGAUAUGUUUUGGAAACGUUGGAGAACUGAGUUUCUCCAGACACUUCAACAGCGUAAAAGGUGGCCUACGAAACAGAGAGAUCUACGCGUUGGUGAUGUUGUUUUAAUGAUUGAAGAUGACUCUCAGCGAAAUAACUGGCCAAUGGGUGUUAUCACAGAACUAUUUCCGAGCCAAGACGGACACAUUAGAAAAGUGAUGGUCAAAGUCAGUCGCCCUGGCGACUCAGAACUUAGAUCCUAUGUGAGGCCUGUGAAUAAACUUGUGACACUCAUCGAGUGUGAAGACCAGUGCUAAAUGUUAGGCCGAUCUCCAACGCGGUCAAGAGGGUGAGCGAUAGAAAUGUUCCGGAUGCAGAUUUCGCGAGUGCAAACUGGCAAGUGCGCCACAUAUACGCGUCCGAAAUGGUGAUUCUAUUAAGUGAAGUGAUAAGUCUAGUCAUCAGUGUCAGUGCUACCUAAGUGCUUUAGUGUCAGUGUUGAACUCUUUACAUAAGCUUGAUUCUCUUAUUUGCAUUUUAUUGUUUGUUUCAUGCUAAUUAUACCCGUAUAGCAUUAAGUUUUCUAAGAAAUUUAAUGUAGGCUGUGUCUAAACAAUUUGGGGUUUUAAAUUGGAUCCAAUAUUAUAUGGGAUCUAAUCUGGGUCCAACAUGUUUCCUAUAGCUUUCAGUAUCUUGAGAAUCUGUUGCUAUAUCGCAGAGAGUUAACACUUCUUUUUCGAGUGUUCAGUUUAAUUCAAUGUGUUAUCGCAAGUUUCUACGCAUACAAGUCAACGACAGAACUAAACCGCCUGCGUUGGCAAUGGAGCAACGCAUCCAGAUAUGCCGCCUUUUCCUGACCAUGCCGUGCUAAAGCUACCUAAGACGUUCUGCUGUGAAAAUUGCAUCAGUUGCUUGUUGUCACGCUUUUAUAGUUGGAGUCUGUGUUAGACUUUGCAAUCGAGCUUAUAUGACUGAGAACAUUGGGGGUGUAUCAAUAUCAUAAACCAGUUGUUAACAUUUUUUUUUUAAAUGGGAAUACUGUUUCAUACUCUAUAAAUCUAGUUUAGCCUACUCUAUGUUGUGAUCAUUCAUUGAAAUAUCUACAUAGUUAUUUCGAAAAGCGAUUACAAUAUAUUUUGAUCCUAUUCAGAGGAAAGACUUAUGAAAGGAAACUACACUGUUUGUAGAGAUUUAUUAGGUAUAUGUAGUAUAUAUGUACAUGUACAUCUAAGUAUUGUAGUGGUAUUUCAUACCAGGUGGGGAGUGUUGCGAAACAGAAUGGGACGUUUUAUCUUGUUUGAAUACUCUUCUUUGUGAAGGUAAAAUUUAGAGUUAUUCAACCACGCCAAACUUUUGCGAUACUUUAAAAGGCCAUAAAUCUUUACGACAAUAAACAUCGGACCAACCACAGUCUUGCCUUCACAUUCCUCGUCCGGUUACAGUCUGCAUCAAUAAAAGUGCAGAGUCAUGUUCCUUAGAUGCAACCGUCCACUACAGCUGGGACAGCAGGUUCAUAUUCCACACAUGAUAUCCGACAUGUUAGACCCCUGUAUUUCAAAACUGCCAGGAGAUGUGAGGUAUAUUGGAGUUUGCUGUGAAGGAUCUGAGAAACAGGUGUUUUACCUUGGUGAUGAGGGUGUUGCCCCAGGCAAAGUAGCAAACACAGUUGUCAGCUUCCUCCACCAUUACCUUGAAAACUACGGCCUGGGUGAGGCACAUGCUCAGUUUCACUUUGACAAUUGCCAAGGACAAAACAAAAAUAAUGCAGUUCUUGGUAAUGCUGUGUGGAGAACAUUGACAGGAGGGCAUAAGACAAUCCAGUACUCACUGAUGCUAGCCGACACCAAAAUUGUAUGCGACUGGCAUUUUGGAUUUUGGAAAAACAGAUGGAGACACAUGGAUGCAGAGACAGUUGAGGUAUUCAGAGGUGGCUUUCACAGUAGCCAUGUCAUCCCGUAAUGGCCACAGCAUUCCACAUAUUGUUGAUGGCAACAGCAAACCAGUGUCGUUCUUUCACUGGAGCACCUUCUUCAAAGGCAUUUUCAAACCAUUGAAGAACAUUUUGAUAUACCAUUCGUUUGAGGUAUCUUCUAACGAGCCUGGGAUUGUAAGAGUAAGGAAGUUUGUUGAUGCCCCUGAGGAGAAAAUUAACAUACUGAAAACCUGCCAAGUGGAUAUUGGUGUUCUGCCAGAGCAGAUCUUUGGUGAGGGAAUAUGUGCUGAAAGGCAAUGGUACUUGCAUGAUGUAAUUAGAGACUUUUGCAGAUCGGAUAAUGCUAAAAACACAACAUGCCCAUUGCCAUUAGUUGCAAAAGAAGGCUAUUCAAAGGCCAAAAAACUAAAGUUGAGAACACUUUCUCUGUGUGUUUCAGCAAAAAGUUGUAGUUUAUUUCUUGCUACAAACAGAUUGGCAUGUAUUUGUGCAAGUUUUAUGUUUUCAUUUACAUUCAAAAAAAAUCUUUCUUUGUGUUACAAUGAUAAAAUAUUCAUGAUUUUAGGAAUGCAUGGUUUCCAUGGCAACCAAAAGAAACACACUUGAUUGAUCAUUGAAUACUUAUGUAUAAACAUACGUUUCAAUUAUGGGAAUAUCAUUGAACAGUUGGCCAUCUAUAAGUAAAGUAUAAUGGCAUUCAUAUUUUCUACAUAACGGCAGUAAAAUGUGCAAGUGUACAUUAUAAGUCUACAUGUUAUUAGUUAUACAUUAAUAUAGUUUCAAUGUUCCUUGCAUGCAUAUGGUUGUUGUCAAUUUUAUCAAAUAAGGCAUGUGUCAAUGCUUUUCUUGUAAAUACAUUUCAUUCUGUGUCAUCUUACAACUCCAAAAGAAUGAAAUGAGCAAAAAAUGAAUGAUUCUAGGUAUAAGUAAGUUGCUAUGGUAACCAAAUAUAACAUGUCUUCUUGUUGAUUUUAAAAAAUAAUUGAUUUCACCAGACAAGUUGGAUCUUUUAAAUUAUUGCUUGUGUUAAAAUAAUAUGUUUGUGUUUUGAUUAAUACAAGGAUAAGCUGAAAUACUUUUGAACAAUUAACCUUGUUUAAGAAAAGUGGCAGAUUUUCUUUUAAGGGUCUAUGGAAAAUUGCUGUAAACAUUCUAUUUUACUACAUAGCUGGCUGAAAUCUUAAUGCUGUACUAAAAUAUUUCCUGCAAACAUAAUCUAUCAAAUUCAAAUGUGAUUUUAUGUAUUUCAGCUGUUUUUGCGUUUAUUUGGAUAAAUUUCUCGUAAAAGCAUUGUAGUCAUGGCAACCGUUUCUAUGAAAUGUACAUGUGGUGUUAUAUUCUCCAUAAAUGAUGUAAUUGAUGUUAUGAUAAUAUUUCCACAGAAAUAAAAAUUGUUGUAUUCAUUUUUAAUGGA